UAUUUGCCCAAGAAGCGAUUUAAAAGCUCGUAUCAGAAAAAACAUCAUGCAAUAAAUAUCAUUAAAAAUAAACAAACUAGAAAAAAACACCUUGCCAUUUAUAGGAUAAAUAUAUUUUAAAUGGUCAAUAUAUUUAUGUAAGAGUCUUCAGAAGUUAAAGCCAUAGAGAUGCAGCCAGAAAGAAAAUAGGCAAAUAUAAGUAGACAAUAUAGACACUCCUCAUUUAAUGACCAAGUUCUAUUUCCGCACCUAGGUCCUUGAAUAAAUUGGUUGCUAAAUGAAGAACUGCACAGAAUAUGCACAUUAUAAUAUUCAGAGCAAAGAAAUGGUCAGAGGGAACUCCAACUCAUGACUUUGCUUUCAUUUGCAAAGUUCUGAAAUGUACAACAGAACAUAAAACUACAGCACUGAACUACAAAGUACAACCAGCAAGACUUACAGUUCUGUGCUGUAGAAGAAGCCACCAUCAGGCCACACUGCUGCUCAUGUUGCUGAGUUUUAUUUAUAGAUCAUACUCAGCUACUUCAGGAUAAACUGAAGACAGGAAGGAGAAAUGUAGAGUAUAGCGUUGUCAGCAGCAUCGGCUAUCUCUUCAAGUCUCCAGAGGCAAGACAGUCUUCCAUUUAGUAUGAUUUGGGAACCUACUCCAUAGAGGGCUUAGAAGAUACCUGGUCCCCAAGGUAAAUGGAGAUGA
rnacentral:lncRNA from 1 species